rnacentral:rRNA from 2 species
AGCUAACGCAUUAAGCACUCCGCCUGGGGAGUACGACCGCAAGGUUGAAACUCAAAGGAAUUGACGGGGGCCCGCACAAGCGGUGGAGCAUGUGGUUUAAUUCGAAGCUACGCGAAGAACCUUACCAGGUCUUGACAUCUUGCGCUAACCUUAGAGAUAAGGCGUUCCCUUCGGGGACGCAAUGACAGGUGGUGCAUGGUCGUCGUCAGCUCGUGUCGUGAGAUGUUGGGUUAAGUCCCGCAACGAGCGCAACCCUUGUUACUAGUUGCCAGCAUUGAGUUGGGCACUCUAGUGAGACUGCCGGUGACAAACCGGAGGAAGGUGGGGACGACGUCAGAUCAUCAUGCCCCUUAUGACCUGGGCUACACACGUGCUACAAUGGACGGUACAACGAGUCGCAAACUCGCGAGAGUAAGCUAAUCUCUUAAAGCCGUUCUCAGUUCGGACUGUAGGCUGCAACUCGCCUACACGAAGUCGGAAUCGCUAGUAAUCGCGGAUCAGCAUGCCGCGGUGAAUACGUUCCCGGGCCUUGUACACACCGCCCGUCACACCAUGGGAGUUUGUAACGCCCAAAGUCGGUGGCCUAACCUUUAUGGAGGGAGCCGCCUAAGGCGGGACAGAUGACUGGGGUGAAGUCGUAACAAGGUAGCCGUAGGAGAACCUGCGGCUGGAUCACCUCCUUUCUAAGGAA